rnacentral:rRNA from 1 species
CCUACGGGGGGCAGCAGUGAGGAAUAUUGGUCAAUGGGAGAGAUCCUGAACCAGCCAAGCCGCGUGAGGGAAGACGGCCCUAUGGGUUGUAAACCUCUUUUGCCGGGGAGCAGUGGUCCGGACGCGUCCGGACCGGGAGAGUACCCGGAGAAAAAGCAUCGGCUAACUCCGUGCCAGCAGCCGCGGUAAUACGGAGGAUGCGAGCGUUAUCCGGAUUUAUUGGGUUUAAAGGGUGCGUAGGCGGGCAUUUAAGCCGGCGGUCAAAUGUCGGGGCUCAACCCCGGCCUGCCGUCGGAACUGGGUGC